AGCGAACGCUGGCGGCGUGCCUAACACAUGCAAGUCGAACGUGAAAAGGGAAACCUGAGUAAAGUGGCGUACGGGUGAGUCACGCGUAGGUAAUCUACCCCAGAAUCUGGAAUAACCUGCCGAAAGGCGGGCUAAUACUGGAUAGAGCGAGGGAACUCGUAAGAGAGUUUUUCGGGAAAGGGAGCCCGCAAGGGCCUUCGUUCUGGGAUGAGCCUGCGUCUCAUUAGCUAGUUGGUAAGGUAACGGCUUACCAAGGCGAUGAUGAGUAGCUGGUCUGAGAGGAUGAUCAGCCACACUGGAACUGAAACACGGUCCAGACUCCUACGGGAGGCAGCAGUGGGGAAUCUUGCGCAAUGGACGAAAGUCUGACGCAGCCACGCCGCGUGAGUGAAGAAGGCCUUCGGGUUGUAAAGCUCUGUCGGAUGGGACGAACAUCUUCAUAGUGAAUAGCUAUGAGGACUGACGGUACCAUCAAAGGAAGCACCGGCUAACUCCGU
rnacentral:rRNA from 1 species